CCAGCCUCCCCCCUUUCUUCUCUCUCAAGAACGUCACUACUUGCCCUUUCAGCUCCAAACCGGCAGCCUUGGGGGUUUGAAAACCUCACUGAAGUAGUGGGAACAUGAUUCAUCUACAGACGAAGAUGAGAAAACAAGGCUUCCUUUUCCAACCCGCUUCCUCUUGCUCCUCCUCCUGUCUCCUAUGAAAAAGACUCUGUGGGGCAUUACAAGAUGUAAACUCGAGUCCUUUGAUGCCAGGAAUACAAGUCUGCCUCCCCCUGCUCUCAAGAUGGUUUGUUCCUCCCUGCCACUCCCUUCUGUUCUAAUCAGAAUCAAAUGUUUCCUGCUUCCAAGGUUCCCAGGCACUUCUCUAGGGACCUGAGAUUCUUUAAGCACCAUAAAGUUUUUCCAUCCCAAGCCCAUUUAACUGGUGACUUAAGUAUAGAUACUCUGUAUCAAUUUAGCAGAUACUUUGUUCCUUGCAGUACAAACAAGAAAUAAACAAGAGCUAUGUCAUCAGGAAGUUUAUAUGAGAGAAAUCUGUUUCAGAAUAAUACUAUUUUAUGAAAUAGCCCAGAUUCUUAUUUGAAAGACAUGGAUUAACCCUUUUUUAAAAAUUUC
rnacentral:lncRNA from 1 species